rnacentral:rRNA from 1 species
AACGAACGCUGGCGGCAUGCCUAACACAUGCAAGUCGAACGAGACCUUCUGGUUUCGUUUCUCACGUGUGCGUAACGCGGGGGAAACUGCCUUUAUAAUCGGAAUAACUCCCGGAAAGGAGUUCGAAUACCGGCUAAUAUCCUCGGACCAAUGAUUGAUCGCCUUUGGAGGGGUCCGCGUUGGAUUAGCUAGUUGGUAGGGUAAAAGCCUGCCAAGGCGCGGAUUCAUAGCUGGUCUGUGAGGAUGUGGAGCCACACUGAGACUGAGACACGGCCGAGACUCCUACGGGAGGCAGCAGUGGGGAAUAUUGGACAAUGGGCGACAGCCUGAUCAAGCAAUGCCGCGUGAGUGAUGAAGGCCUUAGGGUUGUAAAGCUCUUUUACCCGGGAUGAUAAUGACAGUACCGGGAGAAUAAGCACCGGCUAACUCCGUG